rnacentral:tRNA from 4 species
GCGGGUGUAGUUCAAUGGCAGAACGGCAGCUUCCCAAGCUUCAUACGAGGGUUCGAUUCCCUUCGCCCGCUCCA